UAGAAUGACGUAAACUAACUACAUGUAGUACGAACAAAGACUAACAGGAGUUACUCCCCUUAGUAUCGUAUCGCACAAAAGGACAAAGUACAGUCAACUUUGUAAAGCGAAGUAAACAACUAUGACACACUUAAAAGUUAAAGACGUUUAAAUAUAAACUGAAUAAUAUUUAGGGAAAUUUCGUAAUGUUAUUAGGGUUUUUUUCAUAGCAGUGUAUUUUUACAUUACAUAAUAAUUGACGACAUCGGUUAGAUUGACAGAAAAGUACUAUAAUCUACGAGAUAAAUAUAUAGGAAAAGGGAAAAAUAGAAGAGCAAGGACAAAGAGAAUAGUUACUAUAUACAAGGAACAAGAAUGCACGGUUGGGAGAGACUAUCAAAUCUGUGUGGUAUUGGUUGCAAGGUGUUGUGGACGUCAUGGGGUAACGAAGACAAGACUUAUGAUUCUGUGAAUAAAGAUGACACUGACACAGCUGACCUACACGAACCCGUGACGUCAGAACCAAUGAAACCAAUCUGGUCAGACAUAAAUAUAACAGCGCCUAUUGUCAGAAAUAAGUCCGGAAGUGUUGGCAACAUUAAGAUUGGUUCUAGCGCGGGAUACGAAAAGCUUUCUACAGACGGACUUAAACAGAGUGCCAGUCUUGCGAAACUAAAUGAAAAACGAAACAGUAAAUCGGACGUGACAGUCGGUGCCAUGGCUCCAGCAUUCAGUAAAACUUUACUUAAAGAAGAUAAAAGUUUAAGCAGCAGUAGAGCAAGCCUGGCGGAAGAAACUUUGGAAGUUCACGAGUUAGUGACUACUGUCUGAACUAACUAAUCACAUAAUGGAUAAUAAUUCCUGUGAUAUAAUGGAGCUUUUAUCAAAUUUAUAGACAGGGAUUUUUUUCUGGAAUUCCUUUAUAUAGUUCUACAUUGACAGUGGUAUAACAUUACAAAGUGCUAAGUAUUAAAAGUUAUGGUGCUUGUAACUAAUGUUAAGGGAAAAAGUGACUACAAUGUAGAAUUGAGAAAUUGCUCUUCCCUCGUAAACGCGCCGAACCUUAAUAAAUUAUGCAUGUUUAUUACAUUAGCGCAUUUAUGAAUGAGGAACAUCAUUUAUGUCUUUAUAUAGUUUGACAAUAUCGACAUUUUUAUAAGAUAUUAUGUGAACUUAGAACUUGUACAUUUUGAUUGAAGGAAACUCUGAAAGAUAAGACAAAUUGUCUAAAAUAAUGUCAUACCAACUGAUGGUUAAAAAAAUCAAGUUCCUAAUGCACCUGGCAUUUUUAAAGUAGAUGUAAUAACGAGAAUUCUGGGAGACAUUGCAAUAUUUCCAAGUAUGUCACUGAUAUACUACACUUGUUAAGAAUUCUAUGCCAUGCUCAUUAGUAAUGCAUUUCAUUUUAUUGUUUAUAGUCAAAGGAUACUAAGAUUAAGUUUUAUAAUCAUUUGUUAUUCGACUGGAUGGAUGGUUCCAAAGCAAGAGUUUGUGACUAGGCUAACAGUUUGGUUAUCAUACGCGAUAACUCCCUUAAAUACCUAAAUUUAUGUUUAUAAAGUAACGCAGGAAGCAAUAGAUUUUUUUCUCGGUAUUCACACAUAUGUACACUUGUACUAAUGUUAUGUACAAAACAAUUAAACAUAAUGUAGGAAUAAGCAUGCAUUGAAAUGUAGUUCGUACGCUCUUAUCUCUUGAAAUAGCGUCACGUUGGUCACUUGAAAUAGCGUCACGUAGGUUAGAAAAAAAACAGACAGGUUCAUGCUGAUUGAAAAGAACAACGCGUUGAAAUGAACAAAGUUCGUGUGCUCAUAGUGAAUUGAACAAAUUCGUCUUGUGACAACGAAAUGAACAAAUUGAACACAUUUUUUUCUUGAACGUCUUCACAUAUUGAACUAAACAAAUUCUUCUUCUUUGUUGAAAUGACUGAUGGAGGCGUGGAGGCGAACAUGUACAUGUGUUGUUUACAAGUUUGCUUUGAAAAAACAGGAUUGGUCUGCUUGUGUAACUUUUAUUUUUGUAUGAAAUGAAAUAUAUUGUUUCAUUUUACUUUGCCAAAAUGAUAUAAAAUUCAUGUGCAAUAAAAUGUUUAAAUUAGAUAGUGUACUGUAAAUAAUGUAUUAUAUUAUAUUGUACUAACUUUAGCUAACAGCCAGUAUUUGAUAUUAGUGCAAAUGUAAACAAGAAGAUACUUGAUUAGCUAAACAUUAUUUUAAUCGUUCCAAAUUGUUUUAAUGUUGUUUUUUUUUAUAUUUAUUUUACUGACUUCAGUUGUCAUUCUUAGUGAUCAACAUCAUCUAGAGUCAAAACUCAUAUUUCAUUUAUGAUAUAUACACACCUGUUAUAUUACAUUAUUUUAAUCAGCAUUCUUAUACUUUCUUGAUUUCGUUUCUGGAUAAAUCUUGUCGUCUCAUUUUAUAUAAUGGUUUUAUAAUUAAGUUGUUGAUGAUAAAAAAUGAACAUAUUCUUUGCAACAAAAAAGAAUCAAGCACAACCUCGAGGAGAAUAGCAGACGUGUCACGUUCGGAUUUUAGCCUCCAGUCUCUAACUACAAGAUGAUGUCUGAUUGUUAGAGAUGUUGCUGAAGAUAUGUUUUAUUGAUUUCACCAUACGGUCAUUUUUGUAAUUAUAUUAUAGAACUUAUCUGUAAAUGACGUGGGCUUAAUGUUCUGUAAAUAUAGACGAUCCUCUAUUCUCAUUUUUUUCUUGCUUUGUCAGUCAAGAAUUCAGGAACUUUGUUUGUUUCUGAAGGGUAAAUCAUUGAUGUUUGAAAUUGUCAGACGUAUAUUAGUAUUAUAUAAUAUUAAGUUAUCAUUACUGGUUGUAAGGUACUCAAUGAGUCAUUAUAAUUUUGAUACAGUUAUAUUAAUUUUUAUAUAAUUUGGUAUAUUGAUAUCUUCCUAACAUAAGAUAAAACGCUGUGUUCAUAGAUAACCUAUUUACCUUUCAUCUGAUGCGAUUCAUUUGUACGUGAAAACGGACACGAUUUUCAAACGAAAAAGAAAAUUUGGACCUACUCAGUACAAUAUUUUUAUGAAAUGAUAUAGGAAAAUUAGCCCAUAAUUGUUUGAGUACUUAAAUAUGGUACGUUAAGUUCACAGAAAUAAAUAUUUAAUCCACGUUAUGUAAAUCAUGUAAAAUAUUGUUGAAAUGGUGAGCAGAUGUUAUGGUAAUCGAUCGGGAAUAAAAUUGCUCAGUAAAGUAUUAUUAUAUCAUAUAUCAGAUGAUUCAAUAGGCAUUAUUUAUCACUUUUAACAUGUUACUCAUUCACUGGAUACAUGAAUCAUUGUUCUGUAGGAUUAUUAUAGCAGACGACACCCGAGUGUCUACCAUAAAUACUGUUUACUGUAUUUUCUUCUUGAAUAAUUCAGGAUAUUAUCAAGCUCUUGUCAUAUAUGGUCUCUGUAAGGAAUUACUUGUCGAAUGAGGUCAAGAUGAGGUGUCAUCCACUUUUGACACAGUCUUAAACAUUUUUUUGAUAAAACUCUUUCUUCCACUUUUAUUACGAAAUUAAACUUUUGUCAUUAAUAAUACUAAUCUCUUGUCAAUAACAUUAUUAGAAAAUGUUUGUUCUUCAAAUAGAGUCAAAAGCAAGUAAACGAGUAUAUUUACAUACCGAGCCCGUUUUCUUUUAACCUUCUUGUCCUUACCGAUAUUAUAUACCCCUCUAAUAUUUAUUUUAGAGUUAUUGAAGAUACAAAUCGUUUACCUCCUUAAAUGUAAAAACUGAUCUUGCAUUAUAUCGAUACGUAAUCAUUACUUUUUUGUUUUCACUUUGUCACGAUUGAAGGUGUUCACAUUUUGUAUUUCAAACUGACACUCAAAAUCAUAAGAUAAGCAGUUUUUCUCUCUCUUUU